GAAAACUUGGGGACAGCAAAGCCCUUGGAUGUGCUGCCAGGAAGACCACUUUUGUGACCAGCCCUCCCACCAGAACUGGCUUUCCCGUGUUGACAUACUGAUCUGCCACAUUAUGGUCAGGUUUCUGUUAGAGACCAACACAUGCAGAAGUCAUGCUAUACAUGCGGAGCCAAAAGUGAUAGUGGUGAAUACUUAAAACAUUUCAAGCACAGGGAAGCCGUUUGAGUUUUGAACCAAUGUCAGAUAUCGUCCUGACAAGAGAGAAGAUGGAGCACGUCAAGAGAUGCAAAGUCCUAAAUCAUGAUAUAAAGUCUUAUGUCUAUUAAUUCCACACUGACUAAAAAUUAAAUAUAGCAACCAUAUUAACCCAGAAUAAUAGAUAUGGAAAGUAAAAUGCAACCCUCAGUCACAAUAAAUUAACCUUGCUUUGGCAAUUGGUACGUAUGAAGUGUAUUAUGAAUAAAAAGUUGCUUUGGAACA